GGCUACUCCAGCUCAUCUCUCACUCCUCUUCUCCAAACCUUCACCUCCACAUCGAGUCCUUGCCUUCCCUAAAACCGGCUCCAAUCCCCACAAAAAAGCACGGUUCAAAUGCCUGGCUAGCCAGAGCGGGUUCUUCACACGACUUGGCAGGUUGAUAAAAGAGAAGGCCAAAAGCGACGUGGAGAAAAUCUUCUCAGGAUUCUCUAAAACCAGAGACAACCUAGCCGUUAUUGACGAACUCCUCCUCUAUUGGAACCUCGCCGAGACCGACCGAGUCCUCGACGAACUCGAGGAGGUUUCCACUUUCAUCAAUUUUACUUGCUGCUGAAACCAACUAUUAAGAUUGUGGAGAGCUUGAGGGAGGAUAUACUAGCUGGGAAGCUCAAAUCAGGCAG
rnacentral:misc_RNA from 1 species